ACAGCCACAUCACAUCGAAACAUUAGUUGCCAUACAAUCACUGAAGUUAAGCAACAUUGAGCCUGAUCAGUACCUGGAUGGGUUACCAUGUGGGAAUACCAGC